GUUUUUAGCUCAGAUCUAGGAAGUCACUGUGCUGAGACCAUGCAACAGCCUGUGUACAAUUCAGAGAUGAAAUACAAUUUCUGCUUCCCUCCCGUGUCCAAAAAUAUUUUGCCCUGGAAAGUCCUGCUGGGGUGACUCAUCUGUAUCAAAGAAUGCAAGAGCAAUUUGGUUGCGGUGCCCACAGGUUUUUUUUCCUCAAGUGUGUGUCAUAUGAUUUUUGUCCUUGAAAUUUGUGGAAAGAAAAGAUUGCUGACCUGGUUCACAUCAUGUGAAUGUCUCAGUAUCCUGUUGCCCAUGACUCAGAAGCAGACUUUUUGCUGAGGACGAGCUACUAGCAAUCAAAUGUACUUAGCUGUCAGAUGAACCAAGGUCUCUUCCAAGAGUGAGCCCAGUCUACAGAGGCAAACAGAUUCUCAAAGGACCAUGUAAAGGUGUACAAAUUUCUGUACGGAUUCUGAAAUGGGGACUUAAGGUGGAUCCACAUUAAAAGCUCACUGUGAACAUCAGAGUGGGGAAGCUACCUGAAGCAGAAGUUAUUCUGUAAAAUGAUGCUGCUCCCCUUCUCAUACCACCAAGCAAAGGAUCCAAGACUUUGCUAAACUUUUUUAAAAAGUUGAAGUUACCUGUUACUGUUCGGGGGGCUUUACCUUGGCAACAGUCUCACCCAGCCUCUGUGGUACCUUGCAACCUGAUCACAAGGAGGCACUCCCUCCUCUGAAGACCAAAAGUGUUUAAAUGUUCCCACUAAAAUGAAAGGAAGUUAAUUCAUCUUCACCUUUCUCCAUCUGGACUCGUAUGCUGUGCUGCACUUUCCAUGUUGGAAAUAAUAGGACCACAUUUUAACAGUAUGGUUUUAGGCAUAUGUGAAAACCAUGGGCAACUCUCCAAGUACUUGGAAUAUUUCAGUGACAGAGCGCUUGCUUAGACAGACAGUUAAACAGAUUUCAAAAGCAAGGCCUCCAAGAUGUGUCUUUUAUAAUGCGUUGCUGCUUUUUAACAGCUUGUUGGUGAUGGAUUUUUAAACCUGAAGCAUAUGAAUAAUGCAAAUAAGAAAAUGUUGCACAGUAAUAUUGAUUCAGGAACACUUUAUAUGCUCAUUAGCUGUGUACAUUAUAAUUGAACUCUUACAUGUGACAGCCACAGGAAUGCCAAAUGAAUAUAUUAUGAUAAACACUGUUACAAUGAAUACCAAAUGAAUUUUUUGUGACUGUACACUUCCCAUUUCCCCGUUGAUUCCAUGGCAUGCAAAGUUUUGGUUCUUUUUAAAAAUAGGAUUUGAAGCGGUGAUAUGAGAGGCUUAUUGUAUUGUUACGUAGAACAUGCUUAGCUGAUGCUAAGUCAUUUUCCUAGGCUCCAUGACAGUUUUGUUGACUGUUUGAAACAAGCACUAGGUAAAGAAACUAUUUUCCUAGAAAAUGAAAAUGAAUGAAGGAUUAUUCACUUGCACCCCUUGUCAGAUUCACUCAGCUGUGAUCCAUGGAUACUAGCCAGCCAUCACAAGGAAAGGGAAAUGGGGAAGACUGCUAAAGCAAUGUCAUUUUUCAUUUUGCAAACCAUGGCUCUGGACUGAUGGAAAAAUAGAAUUAAAAAGUUUUAUUGUUGUCAUGGUUGGAUUAAACACUACUUGAAUAAACAAACAAAAUAUUCACACUUUAAACACAAGCUUUGUUCUUUAUUCAAGUGAGCAAUGCUUCCACCAGGUUUCUUAGCCUUCAGGCACUAUUUAUCUGCAGGAAGCAGUUGUCAUUAAUGGUACCUUGCAUGCAUAGUAAUUUAUUUUAUAAAUGGCCCUACAGAAAUGAACGGACCUACGUGGGGAAGUGUUUACCCAUGACUGAAGAGUUCAGUAACUAUGCCUCUGCUGAAACACCAUCCCAUCUCACAGAAACCCUUUGGUGCAAAGGGUAAAAACUCUUCAUAGACUUUGGAUGUUUUUCUAUAAAACUAAAAUCAAAUCUACUGUGCUUCUGGAGGACAGAAAGGGCCUGAAGGAUAUAAGGUGGGGCAGUUAACACAUGGACACACUUAUGUAAAGUAAUUUUUAUUGUGCUUCCAUGAGCUACACCAUAUGUCCUGUGAGUCACAUGCCUGUGGACUAGUUGAUCUCCUCUGACAUGGGUUGUAUGAACUUCAGGUAGAAGAACAGAGGUUUGCUCCUGAGUUCAGUAGCACCAAGCUGUCACUCCUUCUCUUUUAUUUCUCUUGGAAUUCAAUCUCUAAAUUGGCGUAAAAGUUUAUAGUGUUUGUCUGUUUACAUUUAUUGCAAGAGACUAUAAAAAUAAAAUUAUGGGCAAGAAUAAGCAGGUUGCUAGCGAGGUAUUCAGUGAGAAACUGCUGUAAAUUAGGAAGAAAGUCAUGUUCCAUAAAUAACUGACUAACUGCAGGGAACAACAAUGCAACGUCUCAUGGCAGAAGCAGAAAUGUGUACUGGUAAUGAGAGAGGAAACAACUACUGGGGUUCUCAGCCAAAAGGAAUGAAAGGUCAGACCUGUCCACUCCUGUGCAUUCUCCUUUCCUUCUCUGCUUUUCCCUUACCCCUGCAGACUCGCUCAGGGGUUGUCCUGAGGUACAAAACACUAAGGUGGGUUGGAAUGAAGGCAAUUUUUACCCACAGAUGUUUUGACAGUGGGUGAAUUUUAACCCCAAAUGAAAGCAAAUACUUUGUGUUUCAGCCUCUGUGGCUUUCAAAGUGUAACAUUUCUCUUUUUGCCCUCACUUCCCUUGAUAUGAUACCUUGAAUUGCAUCUCCAGCGUGAUAUUACUUUGAUAGCUUUUCUGCUUUUCUCAUUCCCCUAUCAUAUUAAACUCUCUCCCUGAGAGUUUUUCCAUCAUCCAAAAUACUAAUUUUCUGAUGUUUUCUUUCUAUGGCCAAUGAAAGCUAUUUAAGUCUUAUUUUCUCAGAAACCUGAGGAACUUAGGUUCCUUCAAAUAAAGUUUGAAAGAAGUUCAUCCAAACAGGAAUGUUCAUAACAUGGAUGGGUCUGAGUGAGUCUGGAUCACAGGAAUUCAAUGAGUAGACCCAGAUCAGGAGGUACUGUUGGUACUAUUUGAUGGUUGGAUUUGAUGAUCUUGGAGGUCGUUUCCAAUCUUAAUGCUUCUGUGAUUCAUGUGAUCCGAUUUACACAGAAGAAAAUCAUAGUGUCAUUUAACUUCCAUCAAAUAACGUGUGUUGACUGCAGAUUGAGGGUUUUUUACAUACAGCACACAAGGAAUUAGUCUGAGCAAGCUGCAGUCUGAACAGCAACACUGAGACAGAGAGGUGGACAGACCUUACAGAGCUGUCUUACAAAGGUGAGGACUUGAGGUGCAAACACUCUGCAUAACAUCACCAAAACUGCCACUGAACCAAAUCUUGCCCUUCCCUGACACAUUGUCUGGUUUCUAAUGCCUAAAAUCACCGCUCCUCUCUUACGCCAACUCCAGACAUUUUCCUAACACAGUUUAAUUUAAUCUCUGCUCUACACUGCAGUGUUUGGGACUCUGCAAUUAUGGGUGGGCCCUAGGGUAUGUGAAAGGUGCAUAGCCUUGGUAAAUUUGGAAAGAGCAACAUUUAUUUAUAUACACACCAGCAAGUGCUUGUAAACUUCCCCUGCAGAGUUAUUUUCGUCUGCUAGCACAAAUUUGUUCAGCUGUGGAGAGAUAUUUUGGUGAGCUGAGAGGAGGAUGCUUUUCUGGGAUGGAGCAACACAGGCACAGAUCAGUGGGCUUCACACUUUGAGGGCUUCUAGGGACAGGUGACUGCCCAAUAUCAGCAGGGCUCCUCUCUCAUGUCUGGAUCUGGGGCUGCUGCUCAGUGAAUGCCAGCAGUGCAGCCCUUAGAGAAGCACAGCAGGUCAAAGAUUGGUGUUUUAUUUUCUGUUUUGGUUUUGUUUUGAUCAAGGGAUGCAGCGAUUAAAGGAUCAGCAGAACUACCCUGAAGUUUCAUGGUUUUAUAUUGCACUCACUUCCCCAGACAGCAUGCCCAUGCCUUUACAGGGGCCUGUAAACACUAACAGAGCUGUUAGGGUUAUUUUCCACUUUUCUUCUGUGCCAUGUGCUCUUACUGUGCUCUUUAACUUUCUAAAGUUAUUUAAAAUACCAUUUUUUAAAAUACUUUUGGUUUGGACAUCUUCUUAGGUCUCCAUUAAUAAUAUCAAUUUAAUCUCCAUUAAUCCUUUUCAUAUUUUAGGUUUUCCUCUUAAAAGGUGAUUGUUUUUCACUCUGUGGUGAACCUGUAUGCCUCCAGGCAAACACAAAGAAAUCUAAAUAAACCAGCCAGACAAGUCUGGAGUAUUCUUUGUUUCAUCGAAUUGUGCUAUUGGUUUGCUGAUUUAUUUUUUUCCAAGAAAUAAGUAACCAGCCCUGCUAUCAUGAUUUGCAAUAUUGAUGCAGAUAUUAGCAACCCUAUUAAUCUCUAAAUUUCAUGCUAUCACUUUUCCUGUUAGUGUACAUAGAAGGAACUUAAUAUUAAUUUUCACACUUUUACUACGUCGUAUAGAAAUUUUGAGAGAUUUUAACUUAGAAUGUACAAUAAUACCUGCUUAAACCUGUAAAUAAAUGUUUGUGAAAUCU